rnacentral:rRNA from 1 species
GGAUGAACGCUAGCGGCAGGCUUACACAUGCAAGUCGAGGGGUAACGGGUCACUUCGGUGAUGCCGACGACCGGCGCACGGGUGAGUAACGCGUAUGGAACCUGCCUACAACAGGGGGAUAGCUUCCGGAAACGGGAAUUAAUACCCCAUAAUGUUUGGUUGUGGCUUCACAAGCAGACCAAAGCUUCGGCGGUUGUAGAUGGCCAUGCGUACCAUUAGUUAGUUGGUGAGGUAACGGCUCACCAAUGCAGCGAUGGUUAGGGGUCCUGAGAGGGUAGUCCCCCACACUGGUACUGAGACACGGACCAGACUCCUACGGGAGGCAGCAGUGAGGAAUAUUGGUCAAUGGGCGCUAGCCUGAACCAGCCAUGCCGCGUGCAGGAAGACGGCCCUACGGGUUGUAAACUGCUUUUCUGCGGGAAGAACCUCUUGUACUUGUACAAGAUUGACGGUACUGCAGGAAUAAGCAUCGGCUAACUCCGUGCCAGCAGCCGCGGUAAUACGGAGGAUGCAAGCGUUAUCCGGAUUCAUUGGGUUUAAAGGGUGCGCAGGCGGUGGAGCAAGUCAGUGGUGAAAGCCCGGAGCUCAACUUCGGGAUUGCCAUUGAAACUGUUUCACUUGAGUGUAGUCGAGGACGGCGGAAUGAGUUGUGUAGCGGUGAAAUGCAUAGAUAUAACUCAGAACACCAAUUGCGAAGGCAGCUGUCUAGACUACAACUGACGCUGAGGCACGAAAGCGUGGGGAGCGAACAGGAUUAGAUACCCUGGUAGUCCACGCUGUAAACGAUGAUCACUCGUUGUUGGCUACUUGGUAGUCAGUGACUAAGGGAAACCAUUAAGUGAUCCACCUGGGGAGUACGUCGGCAACGAUGAAAC